GACGAAGGUGGCUAGCGUUGUUCGGAAUCACUGGGCUUAAAGGGCACGCAGGCGGCCCGUCAAGCACCUUGUGAAAUCCCUCGGCCCAACCGAGGAAUGGCGAGGUGGACUGAUCGGGCUUGAGGCAGGUAGGGGCGAGUGGAACUCUUGGUGGAGCGGUGGAAUGCGUAGAUAUCAAGAGGAACGCCGGAGGCGAAAGCGGCUCGCUGGGCCUGUCCUGACGCUCAGGUGCGAAAGCCAGGGGA
rnacentral:rRNA from 1 species